rnacentral:misc_RNA from 1 species
AGCGGGUAAUCCCGCCUGACCUGGGGUCGCGUCGAGAGCAUCGUCUUUGUGGACGACGUUCAGAGGGUCGACAUGGGAGUCCUCGCUUGCUCGCUCGCUCGCUGGGAGGAGGUGCGCGGGCUGAGGUCGCGACGCGGUACCGAGGUUGGAUCAACCACCGUAGUGUCGCGACGCCGGCGCCGGGGACUCGAAUUUAAGCCAUCCGCGCGACGGUGCGCACGGGAGGCCAGCGUGUGCCCCCGCCUGCGCAACGAACCCGAGUGGGGGUUGCGUGGGGGGGUUCCCCCCCCCGCGCGCCGAGACCGGGGCAAGGGGCGGGGGAAUUCGUUUUAGUUCCUUGGCGGGACCUGCGCCGGGGUUUGGUUUAGGCACCGAGGAGGGGCACGAGUGCUCCCCCCCGGCACGGAAGGUUUGUAAACGCGUUCGCGGGUCGUUUGAUGUUUAGGCAUCGACAAUGAUCCUUCCGCAGGUUCACCUACGGAAACCUUGUUACGACUUCUCCUUCCUCUAAAUGAUAAGGUUCAGUGGACUUCUCGCGACGUCGCGGGCAGCG